rnacentral:rRNA from 1 species
UACGUAGGGUGCGAGCGUUAAUCGGAAUUACUGGGCGUAAAGCGUGCGCAGGCGGUUCGUUAAGUCAGAUGUGAAAUCCCCGGGCUCAACCUGGGAACUGCAUUUGUGACUGUAGAGCUGGAGUACGGUAGAGGGGGGAUGGAAUUCCGCGUGUAGCAGUGAAAUGCGUAGAUAUGCGGAGGAACACCGAUGGCGAAGGCAAUCCCCCUGGACCUGUACUGACGCUCAUGCACGAAAAGCGUGGGGGAGCAAACAGG